UGUAUGUUUAGUAGAGACAGGGUUUCACUUACGUUGGCCAGGCUGGUCUUGAACUCCUGACCUCAUGAUCCGCCCACCUCAGCAUCCCAAAGCGCUGGGAUUACAGGCAUGAGACACGGUGCCCGACCUGAAUCAACCUUUUUAAGUGUAAUCAGAAAGAGAGGCUUUGGCAGGGGCUCUUACUCUGUUUUCUGUAUCCACAAAGGUGUACAAUGAGAGAGUCCACACAGUGCUGUACCGUACACUGCCACAGAAUGUGUGAGAUUUUCCUGUUUGAAUGUAUGUCUGCAUUAUGCUUCUGCAAUAAUGCUAAGGACUUGUUGCAGGAGGGUAAACUAGGUGAAUGAAUUACCUGUGAAUGAACAAUGAAGUCGGCCUGAAACAAGCAGGCCGGGUGUGGUGGCUCACGCCUGUAAUCCCAGCACUUUGGGAGGCCGAGGCGGCUGGAUCACGAGUCCAGGACUGAGGGACCAGCCCAGGCAACAGACAGAGACCCUGACUCUACAAAAUGAAAUGAAAUAAUAAAAAAUAAAAUGUUCUUAAAUUAGCAGGAAUCACUGCUGUCAUGAACAUAUAGCAGUCCUCCCCACCAAACCCAAGGGGCACAUUCCAGUACCAUGGUGGAGGCCUAAAACCUCAUGACACCAAGCCGCAUAAACGGUUGUCUCUCCAUAUUUGUGGGGGAUUGAUUCCAAAACUGCCCUCAGACACCAAAUCAGAUGAUGCUCAAGUCCCUGAUAUAAGAUGGUGUGUACUUGCAUAUAACCUACAUACAUCUUCCAGUGUACUUUAAGUAAUGUCUAGGCCAGGCACAGUGGCUCAUGCCUGUAAUCCCAGCACUUUGGGAGGCCAAGGCAGGCAGAUCACCUGAGGUCAGGAGUUCGAGACUAGCCUGGCCAACAUGGCAAAACCCCAUCUCUACUGAAAAUACAAAAAUUAGCUGGGUGUGGUAGCAUGCGCCUGUAAUCCCAGCUACUAGAGAGGCUGAGGGAGGAGAAUCACUUGAACACGGGAGGUGGAGGUUGCAGUGAGCCAAGAUCACGCCACUGCACUCCAUUCUGGGAGACAGAGUGAGACUCCAUCUC